CGGCGGAAAGAAGGAAUGUAAGAGUGAGUUAGUACAGUUAUGAAGCGGCAGCAUGGUGGGAGGUUAACAUAGGUUGCGUUGGGUGUUUGUAAAGGUUGGUUCGAUUGAAUUACGUUACGUUUGGUAUGUUAAAAGUGGCUUGUUGUAGUUCUGGAGCAACAAGGGAACUCAAGAAGGCUAGAAGAGGAAGAUCUGGGUCUUUGGAGGUUUGAAUAACUUGUGUAGGAGGUUGGAUUGGGUGGUGUAAGGAUUGGUUAACUGGUGGAGGAGGUCUGAAGAGGUUGGAUUGGGUUGUGUAAGGAUUGGUUAACUGGUGGAGGAGGUCUGAAGAGGUUGGAUUGGGUGGUGUAAGGAUUGGUUAACUGGUGUAGGAGGUCUGAAGAGGUUGGAUUGGGUUGUGUAAGGAUUGGUUAACUGGUGGAGGAGGUCUGAAGAGGUUGGAUUGGGUUGUGUAAGGAUUGGUUAACUGGUGGAGGAGGUCUGAAGAGGUUGGAUUGGGUUGUGUAAGGAUUGGUUAACUGGUGUAGGAGGUCUGAAGAGGUUGGAUUGGGUUGUGUAAGGAUUGGUUAACUGGUGGAGGAGGUCUGAAGAGGUUGGAUUGGGUUGUGUAAGGAUUGGUUAACUGGUGGAGGAGGUCUGAAGAGGUUGGAUUGGGUUGUGUAAGGAUUGGUUAACUGGUGGAGGAGGUCUGAAGAGGUUGGAUUGGGUUGUGUAAGGAUUGGUUAACUGGUGUAGGAGGUCUGAAGAGGUUGGAUUGGGUUGUGUAAGGAUUGGUUAACUGGUGGAGGAGGUCUGAAGAGGUUGGAUUGGGUUGUGUAAGGAUUGGUUAACUGGUGUAGGAGGUCUGAAGAGGUUGGAUUGGGUGGUGUAAGGAUUGGUUAACUGGUGUAGGAGGUCUGAAGAGGUUGGAUUGGCUGUAUAAGGUUUGGUUGACCUGUUAAUGAGUUUAGAUGAGGAGGUUGAUGCCUUUUCAUAGACCUCAGUAAUGAUGAUGAUACUAAUGCUAAUACUAACACACUAACGCUAAUAACAACUUCCUCUUGG